UAACCAAUAAGAAUGUCGCGAGGUGUGAAACCCACGCGCACGAAAUACAAACCACUGUUUAGUGUUUACAUUUCCUUCUCUACUGUGACAACUGUGCUUCGAGUCUGUUACAAGUUUAAAUUAUGUUUAUUGUGAAGGCGAUUUUAAGAUUUUUUUGGAGAUGAACACACGAGAGCUUAUGAUGUUGUAUAAAGAAGAAAUUAUAAGAGGCGAAUAAAUUGAUGGUUCCGUUACAAACGAUGCAAAGAAAUUCAAGACUUCGAAGGUCCCGAAUAGCUUGAAAGUGAAAAGUCUGCUUCAUUCUAAUAAUUCACAGACCACCGAAGCGCAUGGCGACGCGAACAGAUUCGACAUUCAGACAUCACAAGAGACUUGGUGACCUUUGUUGAUUAUGAAGAUCAUGAAUUAAGGCGAUGAUGUUAUUGCAACAGUUGAGCAGGCACCAUACACUCCAACAAACAAGAACAAGGGUGACCAACAAGACAAGAAAACACCACCAAGUGUCAAGUCGAGACGACAUCAAGUCAAUAAACUGUUUAUAGAGUAAGACAUUAUUUUAAACUAAACUGCAUGCUUCAAGAUAUUUAUAUAAUUCAUUACUGUGACUUCAUGUUAAUUCUUAAUAGUAUUGGAACUUAAAAUAUAUUUAUAAAUUAAUAUUGUGUUUGUGUGUUUUCUAGCCAUGUUUAUAUGUUACUUUUAGGAAAGGUGUGCAACUUUUUACUUAAACAAUUUGUGUGUUCUCCAGCACAGCUUUAGCUGUGUAAUGAAACACACCAUGGUGUGUAUGAAAACACACCUUCUUUGAAAACACACCUUA